rnacentral:misc_RNA from 1 species
GUGUGACAGGUCAACCAAAUACAACAAGCAGUCAGUAAAACAGGGGCAUUUUGAUCUUACCCGUGACCUUCAUUUGGACUGUUUAUUCACGUCUUUAGAUCAGCUGUGAGGACGUUAAAUUCACCAUUAACAUAUACCAGACACGGUAGGGAUUUUGAGCUGAUCAGGAUCACCAAACACAAUGGUAUUAUCGUCUUUACACUCCGUGUCAACGUCGCCGAAGAUCCAGAUGAAGUCGAUUUCAAACAGAAACUGCCAACAAUAGAAUCUGAAAACAAAGUGACGCUUCUAUCCAGUAAAUAUGAAUAUGUGUUGACUUCUUUUACUCAGCCUUGACCAAGACUCAUCCAUGCUAUACGAGGUGGCAUAUUUUCCUUCCUAACCCACCACGCUGCAAUAAGGGAACAACUUCCUGACGUAAAAGUGCAGACGAGAGAGACUACAGAAAUGAUUUGUUUUGAGUGUUACAGGGAUGUAACGUUACAAAUUCUGUUGAGUCAGAAUUGCUACAGGACAGACAAAAUGCCAUAUACAGCGAUCUCUCUGGAAGAAAAAAAUAUAUUUUCCAAGAUGGUAUCUUGGUUACUAAAGGAAAGAAAAAAAAGAGAAAAAGAGCAGCUUAAGGUUGUACUUCUAUCUUGGAUUUCAUCUCUACCCCAGAAAAAGGAGAAAGAUUGAUAGUGAUUGUGCCUCAGGCCUUGGUCAGAGAAAUUUGCUCCAGAUAAAAAACUGUUUGCAGCAGCAUCCUCUUUCCAGGGGUAGUGUCAGUAUUAAAUUGGUAAUGCAUUUCAGUUUUAGUCAAUAAUUCUUCACAUUUUUUAAAAGUCAAAGGCAUAAUUGAGUUUAAGUAUAUUAUUUUUGGAGGUAUUAAUGUAGGCAUAUAAAACAUCAAAUUAGCUUGAAAUGUAAUUUUUACAUUAAAUUUUGAGAAAUUAAAUUUCUUUGAUGAUGUUUCUUAUAUGAAUUUUGCUCAGAUAAGGAGGCAUUUCUUAGACAAGAUUGAAGAUAAAGUGCUUGGUCUACCACAGAUGGGAAGUGAUGCAUUUGUACUGUUGAUUGAUAUUAUUCUUAGAUGAUCCUAUAAAACAAAUAAAAAUUAUCCAGUUAAAAGACUUAAACAAAAUAUUCAUUCCUUUUUGACUGAAACAGUAGGCCAUGUAAUUUUUUUAUUAUAGUGCAAUAGUAGAUGCCAUUGAAGAAAAAAUUCCGUACUUCCAAAAUGUGUUGAUGAAACCUGAGGCAAAAUUAUGUUUAAUUAAGUAGACACGCACAAUUUAUUUGUGAAGUAAAUGAUAAAAGAAUGUGUCUUUGUUUCAUAUUGCAGAAAAUGAGCCACCUAGAUAUAAGGAAACAUCUCGAAGUCAGUGUGUGGAGUCGGGUUCAGUACUGAGACAGUUGAAUUUUACAAUUUUGUUUUACACUGUGUUUCACAGCAUACGUGUUUCAUUCAGUUACUCAAAUAGCCUUUUGUGCUAUAAUGCACUGUUGCAUCAUCUUGGAUGAUUAGGCAAAUAAACUCGGUUUUAACAUUGUGCUUGUAAUGAUUAAUCCAUUUUUUGUUGUAUUUAAAUGCAGUGAUUUCUCAUUGUUUUUAUGUGAUAUUUAUUGUACAUCAUGAAUUACAAAUAUUUUGUCAUUUAGGGAAAAUAUACCCAGUUAACCCAAUUAAACAAGUUAGACUUUUUGUGUGUCAGUGUACUUGUGAAAAUGAUUUGGAAUUAUAUUUUUAUUACUGAAAUAUAUCAGUUUUGAUUCAUCAAUACUAAUUAGUGAUGUAUCUUCUUUUCAAUGGUACCAGUUUGUAUUUUGCAAUGUUGAAUUAAUUUCACAGUAUUGAUGGAGGCAGUGUAUCUCUUUUACACAUUUUGGUAACAUUUUUCUUUUUUCUUUUUUAGAUAUAUGAUUUUUUAGAUAUAUGAUGGUAGUUGCAGUUAAUAGUAAGUGAAUUUUUUUUUGUAUAUUCGGUCUGUGAUAUAUGAUAUCAUUUACCAUGUGCUGUCAAAUUGAAGGAUAUUCUGAAUUUUUUAUAUUGUACUUAUUAUUAUUAUUAUAACAACAAUAAUUAGAAUAUUGUUUGAUUUUUCACUUAUAUUCACUACUAAUGAAAUAUUGUAU